rnacentral:rRNA from 1 species
AGAGUUUGAUCAUGGCUCAGGAUGAACGCUAGCUACAGGCUUAACACAUGCAAGUCGAGGGGCAGCAUUUUAGUUUGCUUGCAAACUAAAGAUGGCGACCGGCGCACGGGUGAGUAACACGUAUCCAACCUGCCGAUAACUCGGGGAUAGCCUUUCGAAAGAAAGAUUAAUAUCCGAUAGUAUAUUAAAACCGCAUGGUUUUACUAUUAAAGAAUUUCGGUUAUCGAUGGGGAUGCGUUCCAUUAGUUUGUUGGCGGGGUAACGGCCCACCAAGACAACGAUGGAUAGGGGUUCUGAGAGGAAGGUCCCCCCANAUUGGAACUGAGACACGGUCCAAACUCCUACGGGAGGCA